CCUACGGGAGGCAGCAGUGAGGAAUAUUGGUCAAUGGUCGGAAGACUGAACCAGCCAAGCCGCGUGAAGGAUGAAGGUACAGUGUGUCGUAAACUGCUUUUGUCAGAGGACAAAGCCGGAUACGUGUACUCUGCUGAGUGUACCUUACGAAAAAGCAUCGGCUAACUCCGUGCCAGCAGCCGCGGUAAUACGGAGGAUUCGAGCGUUAUCCGGAUUUAUUGGGUUUAAAGGGUGCGCAGGCGGUUUGUUAAGUCAGCGGGGAAAUGCCGGAGCUUAACUCGGGACCCGCCUCUGAUACUGUCAGUCUAGAGAUGGAGAGAAGUAGGCGGAAUGCGCGGUGUAGCGGUGAAAUGCAUAGAUAUCGCGCAGAACUCCGAUUGCGAAGGCAGCAUGCCG
rnacentral:rRNA from 1 species